GAUGAACGCUGGCGGCGUGCCCAAUACAUGCAAGUCGAACGCAUUGUGGUUGAAAUGAUAUGAAGAACUUGUUCAGAUUUGAUUUUCAACAUUGCAAUGAGUGGCGAACGGGUGAGUAACACGUGGGAAACCUACCUCUUAGCAGGGGAUAACAUUUGGAAACAAAUGCUAAUACCGUAUAAUAAUUAAAACCGCAUGGUUUUAGUUUAAAAGAUGGUCUUGCUAUCACUAAGAGAUGGUCCCGCGGUGUAUUAGUUAGUUGGUGAGGUAAUGGCUCACCAAGACAAUGAUACAUAGCCGAGUUGAGAGACUGACCGGCCACAAUGGGACUGAGACACGGCCCAUACUCCUACGGGAGGCAGCAGUAGGGAAUCUUCCACAAUGGACGAAAGUACUGGUGGAGCGAACGCCGCGUGUGUGAUGAAGGGUUUCGGCUCGGUAAAACACUGUUGUAAGAGAAGAAUGACAUUGAGAGUAACUGUUCAAUGUGUGACGGUAUCUU
rnacentral:rRNA from 1 species